CUUUAGCUGGUUUGGGAGGAAAGGGAGGAAAGGGGAAGGGGGAAAAAAAAAAAAGUCCCAAACCAUGCGCUCGGCGCGUUUUCACGAAUCCCCUGCGGUACCAGCCCCCGCGCCCGCCCCGCCCGGCGAGCUCUUCCUCCGCCCACCUCCCGCUCCUUCCCCAUUGGCCGGCCGGUGCAGUUUGAAUUUUUUCUUUUCUUUCUUUUUUUUUUUUUUUUCGGAUGCUUGUUUUCUUGUAAAAAAUACAGUACCCCCACCUCGUACUAUGAAACCCACUGCGGCGGCCCGAGGUGGGGUGUUUUAGCUGGUUUGGGGGAGGCGGGGGGGGCGGAGCAUCUGUGCCAACAUUUUGCCCCGAAGUGCGGUUGACAUUGAGCAGGCAGGUAGGGGAGCGUGGGGCCGCGGUAAACAAAUUGAGUAGCUUCGGCGGGGACAGAGAUGUAGUAUAAAACGUUAAUGGAUGUCCCGGGCGCACCGUUUCGCCGGCUGCUGGUCAGAGGUGCUAGGGAGUUGCUGACAGGAUCCCGGGAGAGGAUGCACGUCCCCUGCCUUGGAAAGGCUGAGUGAUCGCGUCCCCGCCCCGGGCUUCGUUGGUGACGGGAGAAGCAGAGUUUGCAUGUGUGGAAGCCAUGACCACCUUUCACAUUCAGUAUCAGAUUCCUGUCAUCCACCCUAAGCCUAGUCUACGGCUUAGGGUCACCUUUUUUUGCUCACAGAAAUCCUCUGAAUCAGCCUCUUAAAGUUUCACCAACCUUUUCUGCAUCUGCUAACACAGGAGCCAUUGGUACCAAGUGAUGGCCACUUUAUGGCCGGCAAAGGACCUUAAAUCAUCUAGCCCAAGCCCCUCUUUUGAGACAACUGAAGCCCCGAGAGGUUGUCAGCAGCCUAAAGUUACUCACCUCGUGGCUGGCUGAGGCAGGACCAAAACCCAGAGGCCCUGGAUUCUGGAGGAGACACUUCCUUUAGGACACCCACGCUGAACUUGCACAGAUGUCCGUUGUGCACAGAUGGAAGGCUGGAUGCUUUGUGUGCUUGGCUCACUCUAGAGGCCUUGUUGAAUUAAGCAGAGUGCCUGGCAGGGAAGAGGAUGAAAAUGCUGAGAGAAGACCAAAUUGCUCUCCCCCACCGCAGGCUGAGGGUGAACCUUGAAAGAAAAGUUCACGAGAAGGUUGAAGAGGCAGAAGAGAUGGGGCAAAAGUGGAUGGACUAAGUUUGCAUUGAUGUGGCUCAAGAAUCCCUCCCUCUACUUGUCCUCAAGUUGCUAGACGCCGGUUAUUUAAAUAUGAUGGAGAAAUCCUCCCCAGGUAAUGGUUUUCUCAGGCCUAAGGAAUUCCACUAGAAGGGGGUGGUAGAAAAAGCCCCUGCAGCACAAGAAGAAAAAUGCUUCCUGGUUAUUCUGGGAGUCUGUUACUGGACGGAAUUCACCUUCAUUGCAACGCUAUGGCGCAGGCACCUAAAAGUCAAAAUGGCCAUGGAAAUGAAAAGGUUCUGAUCAGCUGGGUGGGAAAGAACAGCUCCACAAAUAAGGUCGAAUGACUGAAGGUGUUGCUACUGCACAUUUCUGCCUUUGCAAGAAGGCCCUCCCGCCAAAUGCCUUCCCAGAGGUGGGGCGUCCUGGUUAUGGUAAGUGCAAGGUGCCAUUGUGCAGAAAUUAACCUGUAGCUAGUAGAUUUCUCCUAACUGGGUUUUAAUCCACAGUGCACAUGUUCUGGAUUCUUGGUCUCAAUCAAAUGGCUUCUUGGUGAGGCUGUUAUCUUUGCGAUAGUCUUUGGCAACCCAAAAUGCUGGUGCUGGCUAUUUUGCUUGAGAUACUUGUGAAAAAAUAGUCCUUUCUGGCUAUGGUAUGUGUAGAGCUGGUGCUAUAUGAUCAAUUUGCAUCUUCUAUUAAAUUUAUAGACUCUAGGAAAGAGCACAUUACAGACUUGCUGGUGUAACUGUUGUUUUCUAAUUUAGGGGUCUUGUAGGAGCUGCCGCCAUUCCAGUGAGAUCUGGCUUAAGCUGUAGUUACUAAAGAUUCCUGACUCAACCCAGACAUUGAAAUCCCCUCCAACUGAGACAGAGCAGAAUAAAAAAUUGGGGAAGAUGAAUUUUGGGCCUUAAUUUUUUUGAAUUUUAACCCACAAAAACAAGAUAAUUUUAUUUUGAACCUUACUUUCUUUGAACUUUCAUGUCUCAUGAUUUGGAUUUCAUUCCUUGGACCUUACUUUCUCCCUAACCAUUUGAUCAAAGGAAGAGAAAAAGUUAAUGUUAACAAAUCUUUUCCCCUCAACAUUAUUGGCAUUUUGUUAUUGAGGUUUUUUUGUGCAUAUUAAUAUUGGAAUCACGUAGUUUUGUCAUAUAACCUCCAUCCUGAUCCUCUGAUUUCCUCUGCCGACAACACGGACAGGCAUGAUAAAAACGGGUGAUAGGAAAAUGAAAAUUUCAACCUUGGAUACAAAAUGGCAUUGAACUAUUUAAUUAAUGCAUUAUAGGGAACUAUUUUGGAACCUUUUGUGAGUGAAAUCUCUUCCCCAUCACUGCUCCUGGGAGGACACCAAGUUGGAGGGUAUAAGAGGGAAGGGUGGCCUCUUGAAGAUGGAGCAAGACUGUUCUGAUAGGCUGCUGGGACCUUCUCUUAAGGAUGUCAGAUACACCUCUGGUUGACAGAGAUUUAAUAUCUAUGCCAGUGGUUUAAGAGAACCAAAAAAUCAAGGGACUAUUAGUGGGAGAAUAAUUCUCCCAACUUUUGAUAUUAUCUUCUGUCAUAGGCUGAGUGGUUCCCCAAACAUGUCCAUGUCCUAAUCCCCAGAACCUGUGAAUAUGUUACCGUAUAUCAAAGACUUUACAGAUGUGAGUAAGUUAAGAUCCUGAGGUGGGGAGGUUAUCCUGGAUUAUCUGGUUGGCCUGAUGUGAUCACAAAGGUCCUUAUAAGAGGGACACAAGAGGAGUAAGAGUCAGAGAGGAAGGUGAUGCGAUGACAACCAGAGAUGCAACUGAUGAUCAUUGGCAAUGGAGGAAGGAGACACAAGCAAAGAGGCACAGGCAGCCACAAAUGACAAAAAACCCAACAAUAACAACAACAACAACAAAAAACCUGCCAGCACCUUGACUUUACCUCAGUGAAAUGGAUUUUGGACUUCCUACCUCCAGAACUACUAGAGAGCAAAGUUGUGUUGUUUUAAGUAACCACAUUGUAAUUUGUUGCAGUGGCCACAGGAAAUGAAUAUACCUUCCAUACUUGAGGGAACCUGACUUAGUAGAUCUUUUGUGUCCUUGGAGAAGGCGAUGUAAUCUGAUGGGUGAAUCUGGAAUAAUAAAUUGGACACGAUUGGCUUGGU